AAAUACGACAACCCGCGCCUGAGCAUG
rnacentral:sRNA from 1 species